ensembl:snoRNA
AUCUUUUUGGACUCUCAAGAGUGAUGAUUAGAUGUUCACAUCAUUGUGUGAUAUUCCUCUCUCACACCUUGUUUUGAUGUCAGCAUAUUACCCAUCUGACA